GUUUUUGCCAUUCUCUCUUGUCGUGUAUUAACGUAACGUAACGUUGUAACCUGCUGUCGGGAAUAAAAUGCAUCUGGCUUACAGCUUGCUGGCUGAGGUUUCGAGUCUGAGAUGUGAUGAGAUUAGCUGUUUGAAUUCCUAGCGGGCUGGAGAGACUGCCGUAACCUUUAAGGAGAUUGUCGAGCUGAACUAGCUCCAUGUAGACAAACUUGGGCAUCAGGUGCCAAGUGAGAUCUGCUCCAAAAGAAAAUAAGUGCAAUCUUUUCAUCUGAGAUAGAUUUUCUUGACUCUGGUUUGAUUGGUAUGAUCAAGGUCAGGCAACCCUGCUGCAAGACGGUCAUUCACACGCUGGGUUAACCGAAUAAACAAACAUGUUAG